rnacentral:lncRNA from 1 species
UGAUAGUGUUUCAAAUCUGGCAGGCACAACAUGUGAAGACCUCCAAUAGAAAAUUAAGUUAUGAGAAUAAUGAAGGCUUUGUGUGUGAAUAAAACGUAAAAUAAUUAAAUAUUAAACCACUUCUAGGAAAAAAGGGAGGAAGAUGCCAAAAAAAGAUAGGGAUAUGAGUUGCUAACACCCUCUUUAGGGAGAAAUGUGGAAUAUGUUAAUUCUAUUUUAUUUGUAAUAACUUGCCUAUCAAAACAAAAAAAAAAUUAUUUGUGAUAAGUCAUAAAAAAAAUGGAUCAAAAAAAGGAGAGGGAGAAUAAGAUAUUGACUUGACUAAUAGUAUCUUUUUUCUUAACAAGUUUGACCACCUGCUAUCAGAAAAAAGGUUUAACCAGUUUAAAGAUUAUGGACACUGAGGAGAGAGGAAAAUGAUAUAUUGGUUGACUCUAGUUAAUCAUGUGUUAUUCUUAACAAGUCUAACCUCCUCUAUAGGAACGUGGGAGAGAGGAGUAAUUUUACAAAGUGGAUUCCAAGGGGAGGGACACCAAAAUAGAGGAGCAUUGGUUAUAUUAAUUAAGCAUUACUUCUUAGUAUAAAACCAAUAAGAAGGAAUGAGAAGAAGGUUAGCCCUUUGGAAAAGACAAUAUUUGUCAAAGGGCGGGAGAAUUACCCUCAUUAAAAGUACUUUGGCCAGCAUACCUAUUUACCAAUUGUCUCUCUUUCGAAUGCCCAAGCUAGUAGCAAAAAGGCUCGAAAAAUUACAAAGGGACUUUCUUUGGGGAGGGGGAAGCUUGGAAAGGAAAAUCCACUUAAUCAAUUGGGAGGUGGUGUGCACUUAAAAGGAGAAGGGGGGUUCUAGGCAUUCGGAAGAUUGAUCUCUUGAACAAGGCCUUGUUGGGCAAAUGGAUCUGGAGAUUUGCCCUUGAAAAAAAAAUCCUUUGGAAGAAGGUGAUCGGGGCGAAGUAUGGCCAUGAGGGUUUUGGUUGGAAAACUAAUGAGGCUCGCGGAACAUUUGGAGUGGGGGUUUGGAAGGAGAUUUUGAAGGAGACGAAUUGGUGUUGGGAUAACAUAGGGUUCAAAGUGGGAGAGGGGACCAAGGUCAAUUUCUGGACUGAUCAAUGGUGUGGUAAUGAGGUGUUGUCCCAAACUUUUCCCCAGCUAUUUGCCUUGGCGGUCCAAAGGAACGCUACAGUCAAUGAAAUGUGGGAUUCUAGCCUUGGUCAAGGAGGUUGGAAUAUUAGAUUCUCCAGAGAUUCUAAUGAUUGGAAGUUGGAUGCUAUAGGAGAGCUGUUUCAUAUGCUGAGGGACUUGAGGAUUUCUUCAGAAGAGGACUCAGUGAUAUGGAAAAGAGGGGGUCAUGGUUCUUUUCGGAUUAGGGAUGCUUAUAAGCUACUGGCAGCCCCUAGCGCCAUCACCUUCUUGAAAAAGAGCAUUUGGGUGUGCAAAUGGAGUUGGUGGUUUGCGGUCGAAAGGGAUUCCUAUUGGAAGCUUAUAAUUGGCACGAAGUUUGGGGUUGGUAGUGGAGGUUGGUGCACUUGCGGGGGUAGGGAGGGCUAUGGGGUGGGGCUUUGGAAAGAAAUCAGCAAGGAAGGGUUGUUGUUGCUCAACAAUGUUUCUUUUUCGGUGGGGGAUGGUAAAAGGGUGAGGUUUUGGAAAGAUAAUUGGUGCGGGAACACUCCUCUUUGUGAGGCCUACCCCUCCUUGUUUGAUUUAGCGGUUUCUAAAGAUGCGAAGGUUGCGGACUGUUGGGACUCAACGGGGGAAGUGGGUGGGUGGAAUCCCCGCUUCCUUAGACCUUUCAAUGAUUGGGAGGUGGAGGAGGUGGAGAGCUUCCUUCUGAUCAUUCAAGGAAAGAGGCUGAAUGCUGAUUUGGAGGAUAGGAUGGUGUGGAAGGAGACGAAGGAUGGGAUUUUCUCUGUAAAAUCCUGUUUCAACUCUCUUGACCACAGCAGUGCAGUCCCGUUUCCUUGGAGAAUUAUUUGGAGUUCGUUUGUUCCUUCCAAGGUGGGCUUUUUUGCUUGGGAAGCCUCUUGGGGGAAGGUGCUCACUCAAGACCAACUAAAGAGGAGGGGCUGGAAAUUAGCUAACAGGUGCCCCUUGUGUUGUGAUGAAGAAGAGUCGAUAAAUCACAUCCUUAUUCACUGUUCUAAGGCGAAGGUCUUGUGGGAUCUCUUGUUCUCCUUAUUUGGUGUUAAUUGGGUUAUCCCUUUUUCGGUUAGAGACACUCUUUUAGGUUGGUUUGCUCCCUUAAAGGAUAAGAAGCGGAGUAAGGUUUGGAGGGCAGCUCCUCUUUGCUUAUUUUGGACGAUUUGGAAGGAAAGAAAUAGGAUAGUUUUUGAAAAUGAAGUCCUAUCAAUUCAAAGAUUGAAAAAUUCCUUCAUGUGUAAUCUCUUAUCUUGGGCUAAUUCUUCCAUAGUUGAAGGCCCCUUUUCCUUGUUUAAUUUUGUGGACUGGGUGGGUUCUUGUUGAGGGCUGGUAAGGGUUUGUCCUUUUUGUUUCUGGUUUUUUUUUGUAGGUGAUGCUUGUAUACUCCCUGUAUACUCUGGGUCGCCUUUUAUGCCCCUUUUUAUAAUAUUUCUGUGCGUUUAUCUAUCAAAAAAAAAAAAGGUUCCAACCAAAGUUGCUUUUUUGCUUGGGAGGCCAUGUGGGAGAAGAUCCUAACUUUGGAUAGGCUCCAAAGACGGGGCUAGCACCUUCCUAAUCGUUGCUUUUUGUGUGGUUGUGAAGAGGAAAAUGUAAAUCAUAUUCUUUUACACUGUAUAGUGGUCAGGGUCCUCUAGGAGAUCGUCCUUGCCUUGUUUGGGGCUCAUUGGGUGUUCCCAAAGACAGUCAAAGAGGUGUUACUUAGUUGGAGGGGCCCCUUUGUAGGGAAAAAGAGGAAAAGGAUUUGGAAUUCCAUCCCGUUAUGUAUUUUUUGGAUGGUAUGGAAGGAAAAAAAUAGAUUAGCCUUUAGGGGGGGCUCUUUAGCUAUACAAAAAUUGAAAAAUUCUUUUGUAUGUAAUUUGUAGAGUUGGGCUAGGGUGUAUAUGGGAGAGGAGUCUUCUUCGCUUUUGGGUUUUUUGGAAUGGCUUGCCAUUCCUUAAGGGGUGGUGAGGUUUUUGUUCAUGUGUUUUUGUUUCUAAGCUGCUGUGUAUACUUCCUGUAUGCUUUGUGGCUUUCCGCCCUUUAAUAUAUUUGCGCUCAUUUAUCAAAAAAAAAAAAAAGGAAUUUUUUUUUAUUUUUUUUAAAAUGACAUUGAAUCUGUAUAAGCUACUAUUGACCAUGGUUGAAACUACUACCUUCAGGUUUAGUAAAGUUACAAGCAAAAGGAAAAGACAUAAUACACAUCUCAAAAGCCUUCAGAUAAUAAGUCAUUUAAGAUUAUCUCCAAGAUCCACUGUUUUGAUUGCAUGCAUUUCUUUUAUUUUUGCUGGCCCUACUAGAAAAUACUCCUGAGCUAAAAUUGCACUGCACAAACAAGGAACUUGACCAAGAUUUUAUGUCUACCCAAUGACACAAUCCUUUGAUGUUAAUGCAGCUCACUGGGAUAGAAGUUUGGCUUUUGAUCUGCCGAGGGAUUUAUUGACAGUCCACUUUUUCUUGCUUCAAUCAUUGAUACGCUUAGCUGAUCAAUCACCUAUUAGUAGAACAUUUGAUGACUCAGUCUUCACAGCCAAAGGAUCUCUAAUAAACCCUAGUUCCUAGUUGACUUAGAUUACAAAAUAUUGGAAGUCUUAAUAUUCCUGUGAUUUGUUUAGGAAAAAGAAACAUUUCAUUUUGAUAUGGGGUAAUCUUGCAUUUGUUUCAUUAAAGCAUGGACUGUUGUUUUUGCCCUUAAAUUAAUUGGUUGACAUCCUUAACCUAAUGACACAGCUUCUUUUCCAUAAAUAGUUAUUUGGAAAUUUUAAAAAAUUUCCAUCUCAAACUAUAGUUCUAAAC